GACGAACGCUGGCGGCGUGCCUAAUACAUGCAAGUCGAGCGGACGGAUGGGAGCUUGCUCCCAGACCGUCAGCGGCGGACGGGUGAGUAACACGUGGGCAACCUGCCUGUAAGUCUGGGAUAACUCCGGGAAACCGGGGCUAAUACCGGAUAACUCUUUCCCUCACUUGAGGGAAAGCUGAAAGAUGGCAUCUCGCUAUCACUUACAGAUGGUCCCGCGGCGCAUUAGCUAGUUGGUGAGGUAACGGCUCACCAAGGCGACGAUGCGUAGCCGACCUGAGAGGGUGAUCGGCCACACUGGGACUGAGACACGGCCCAGACUCCUAAGGGAGGCAGCAGUAGGGAAUCUUCCGCAAUGGACGAAAGUCUGACGGAGCAACGCCGCGUGAGUGAUGAAGGUGUUCGGAUCGUAAAACUCUGUUGUCAGGGAAGAACAAGUACCGGAGUAACUGCCGGUACCUUGACGGUACCUGACCAGAAAGCCACGGCUAACUACGUG
rnacentral:rRNA from 1 species